rnacentral:tRNA from 1 species
GGAUUGUGGCUCAGUGGUAGAGUGCUUGCCUAGCAUGUGUGAGAUACUGGGUUCGAUCCUCAGCACCA